AUAAUAUAUGGAUCUCUAAUGAUGUCCCAAGUAAAAUAUGAAACAACUCUAUUGUCCGAGACCUAAACAAAGCUUCAAGUUAAACACAAUAAAUAUUCUAACAAAUACGCAUCUUUUGGGAAAAUAUGCGCGUUCGAGAGAGAUAAACAAAAACACGAGCAAAAUAUACGUACUGUUGUUGGAGAGGCUCUCGGUCGUCGGAGGAUUCCGGC
rnacentral:lncRNA from 1 species